rnacentral:rRNA from 1 species
GAAAGCGGGGGAUCGCAAGACCUCGCGCGAUUGGAGCGGCCGAUAUCAGAUUAGGUAGUUGGUGGGGUAAAGGCCCACCAAGCCAACGAUCUGUAGCUGGUCUGAGAGGACGACCAGCCACACUGGAACUGAGACACGGUCCAGACUCCUACGGGAGGCAGCAGUGGGGAAUUUUGGACAAUGGGCGCAAGCCUGAUCCAGCCAUUCCGCGUGCAGGAUGAAGGCCCUCGGGUUGUAAACUGCUUUUGUACAGAACGAAAAGGUUUCUACUAAUACUAGGAGCUCAUGACGGUACUGUAAGAAUAAGCACCGGCUAACUACGUGCCAGCAGCCGCGGUAAUACGUAGGGUGCAAGCGUUAAUCGGAAUUACUGGGCGUAAAGCGUGCGCAGGCGGUUAUAUAAGUCAGAUGUGAAAUCCCCGGGCUCAACCUGGGAACUGCAUUUGAGACUGUAUAGCUAGAGUACGGCAGAGGGGGAUGGAAUUCCGCGUGUAGCAGUGAAAUGCGUAGAUAUGCGGAGGAACACCGAUGGCGAAGGCAAUCCCCUGGGCCUGUACUGACGCUCAUGCACGAAAGCGUGGGGAGCAAACAGGAUUAGAUACCCUGGUAGUCCACGCCCUAAACGAUGUCAACUGGUUGUUGGGUCUUAACUGACUCAGUAACGAAGCUAACGCGUGAAGUUGACCGCCUGGGGAGUACGGCCGCAAGGU